rnacentral:rRNA from 1 species
AACAUUUCACAACACGAGCUGACGACAGCCAUGCAGCACCUGUCUCACGGUUCCCGAAGGCACUAAGGCAUCUCUGCCAAAUUCCGUGGAUGUCAAGAGUAGGUAAGGUUCUUCGCGUUGCAUCGAAUUAAACCACAUGCUCCACCGCUUGUGCGGGCCCCCGUCAAUUCAUUUGAGUUUUAACCUUGCGGCCGUACUCCCCAGGCGGUCGACUUAAUGCGUUAGCUGCGCCACUAAGAGCUCAAGGCUCCCAACGGCUAGUUGACAUCGUUUACGGCGUGGACUACCAGGGUAUCUAAUCCUGUUUGCUCCCCACGCUUUCGCACCUCAGUGUCAGUAUCAGUCCAGGUGGUCGCCUUCGCCACUGGUGUUCCUUCCUAUAUCUACGCAUUUCACCGCUACACAGGAAAUUCCACCACCCUCUACCAUACUCUAGCUCGACAGUUUUGAAUGCAGUUCCCAGGUUGAGCCCGGGGAUUUCACAUCCAACUUAACGAACCACCUACGCGCGCUUUACGCCCAGUAAUUCCGAUUAACGCUUGCACCCUCUGUAUUACCGCGGCUGCUGGCACAGAGUUAGCCGGUGCUUAUUCUGUCGGUAACGUCAAAAUUGCAGAGUAUUAAUCUACAACCCUUCCUCCCAACUUAAAGUGCUUUACAAUCCGAAGACCUUCUUCACACACGCGGCAUGGCUGGAUCAGGCUUUCGCCCAUUGUCCAAUAUUCCCCACUGCUGCCUCCCGUAGGAGUCUGGACCGUGUCUCAGUUCCAGUGUGACUGAUCAUCCUCUCAGACCAGUUACGGAUCGUCGCCUUGGUGAGCCAUUACCUCACCAACUAGCUAAUCCGACCUAGGCUCAUCUGAUAGCGCAAGGCCCGAAGGUCCCCUGCUUUCUCCCGUAGGACGUAUGCGGUAUUAGCGUUCCUUUCGAAACGUUGUCCCCCACUACCAGGCAGAUUCCUAGGCAUUACUCACCCGUCCGCCGCUGAAUCGAAGAGCAAGCUCUUCUCAUCCGAU